rnacentral:rRNA from 1 species
CCCUUAGAUGUUCUGGGCCGCACGCGUGCUACACUGAGUGGAUCAGCGGGUCAGGUUGCGCGAAAGUGUUUCCUAAUCUUUAAAUCCGCUCGUGAUGGGGAUUGACGGUUGCAAUUUCCGUCAUGAACGAGGAAUACCUUGUAAGCGCGGGUCAUCAUCCCGCGCUGAAUACGUCCCUGCCCUUUGUACACACCGCCCGUCGCUCCUACCGAUUGAGUGGUCCGGUGAGGCUUUGGGAUCUGAGCGGAAAGAGCGUUUCGCUGUUUCUGCCCGGAAAACUCAGUCGAACCUUAUCAUUUAGAGGAAGGAGAAGUCGUAACA